AGUUAAAGAUUUAACACUUAGUGAGAGUGCAGCGUAGGUUAACCUAGAAAUCCCUUCUGCUUUAGAUAAGAGGACUCUGCCUCUUAAAGAUCCCUUUGAAGCCAGCGGUUUAAUUUUUUCUUGGUUUCAGCAAUGACAGGGUCAAAAUUCAGACUGCAUCUUUCUGUGAUGUUUUGGAGAUAACAACACCAAGAAGAUCAACCUGUCCAUUCAAGUUGCAACAGGGAUGUAGGAGAAGGCCCCAGUGUAUGCAAUCUACAAAGCAGAUUUCAAGAUGAAAUACUUAAUAUUGAUCAAAGCCAAAGCAGUGCAGUCGAGCUUCCAAUGAGCUGACCAGACCAGAGUGGACCACCACGUGUGAUAUACUCACAAAUGAUGUACUAUAAGUGUUUUUACCUCCGCCAAGGGCGAGGUAAUGUUUUCAGUCGUGUAUGUAUGUUGUUCUGUCUGUGGACAAAUGAUAG